GGAUGUGAGGGCAACCUGGCUGUGACAUCCAUCACCCCAUUAUUGCCAGGGUUGAUUCGGCUGAUCUGGCUGGCCAGGCUGGUGUCCCCUUCCUCCCUCAUGGCUCCCUGUGCAUCCUCUCAAAGCCAUGUGCUGCCGAAGAGAACGAACUUCCCCGAUAGAGGAGUACUGCUCUUCGGUCAAGGGUAUAGGAGUAGUUGCGCUCUCCCGCUAGAACCUCCAAACAAGCUCUCCAGGUCCAUUUGUAGGACAACAUAGGGUGGUCAAGCUUUCAAGAUUCCAGACACAUCCAAAUGAGGUGCUACAUGUGGCAGUCUGCCUUUAAAA
rfam:Felis catus isolate Cinnamon breed Abyssinian chromosome A1, whole genome shotgun sequence.